GUCGUGCGUUUCCCUGCCCUUUGUACGCAACGACGAAGGACUAUUACGUCCCUGCCCUUCGUACACAACGAUGAAGGACUAUUACGUCCCUGCCCUUUGUACACAACGAUGAAGAACUAUUACGUCCCUGCCCUUUGUACACAACGAUGAAGAACUAUUACGUCCCUGCCCUUUGUAGAUGAAGAACGCAGCGAAAUACGUCCCUACCCUCUGUAGAUGAAGAACGCAGCGAAAUGCGUCCUUCCCUUUGUAGAUGAAGAACGCACGAAUUUACGUCCCUGCCCUUUGUAGAUGGAGAACACACGAAUUUACGUCCCUGCCCUUUGUAUAGAUGAAGAACGCAGCGAAUAACGUCACUGCCCUUUGUAGAUGAAGAACGCACGAAUUUACGUCCCUGCCCUUUGUAGAUGAAGAACGCAGCGAAAUACAUCCCUACCCUUUGUAGAUGAAGAACGCAGCGAAAUACGUCCCUGCCCCUUGUAGAUGAAGAACGCAACGAAUUACGUCCCUGCCCUUUGUACACACCGCCCGUCGCUCCUACCGAUUGAGUGGUCCGGUGAGGCCUUGGGAGGGCUAAGUGGACUGUGUUUUCAUGGACCGCCUGGCCCGAACCUGGUCAAACCUUAUCACUUAGAGGAAGGAGAAGCCGUAACAAGGUUUCCGUAGGUGAACCUGCGGAAGGAUCAUUACAGGUUCGACCUUUUCUCUUUGCUGCUGUUGUUGCUUGGAGAGGGGGGAAGAGUUUGUAGACGCUUGUCCGGAGCGGAAGUCUUUCUUCUGCUCCAAGCGCUCUCGCCCUUGUCUGGGCGUCGCGAGCGGUGCCCUUGCCGGCGUGUGUUCUCCCAUGCCGCGUGUGAAACGUUUUUUUUUUCUCUUUCGAACCGAACUUUGGGUUUGCCUCUGGCGAGGCGAAUCGAAAACCCAUUUACAUGCCAUGCAGUGGAUCAAUGCUCGGGGGUCGAUGAGACGCAGCGAAAUGAGUCGAUCAGCACACUGC
rnacentral:misc_RNA from 1 species